CAGAGGCAGGUAGAUCUAGUAAGU
rnacentral:piRNA from 1 species